AAUAUUGGACAAUGGGGGCAACCCUGAUCCAGCCAUGCCGCGUGUGUGAAGAAGGUCNNNGGAUUNUAAAGCACUUUAAGUUGNGAGNAAGGGCUUCAGGUUAAUACCCUGAAGUUUUGACGUUACCAACAGGAUAAGCACCGGCUAACUCGGGGCCAGCAGCCGCGGUAAUACAGAGGGUGCAAGCGGUAAUCGGAAUUACUGGGAGUAAAGAGCACGUAGGUGGUUCAGUAAGAUGGGUGUGAAAUCCCCGGGCUUACCCUGGGAACUGCUUUCAUACCUGCUGAGCUAGAGUACGGUAGAGGGUAGUGGAAUUUCCUGUGUAGCGGUGAAAUGCGUAGAUAUAGGAAGGAACACCAGUGGCGAAGGCGACUACCUGGACUGAUACUGACACUGAGGUGCGAAAGCGUGGGGAGCAAACA
rnacentral:rRNA from 1 species